UUUUCCAACCCUUUCGUUAAAAAAUGCAGUGAAUCCAUGUUAGAGGAAUAUAUAAUACCGACACCGAUUUUAUCCUGCGUGCAAAUAUACGCUUCGAACCGAGCAAAUCAAAUGCAAGAGUGGCGCGAGUGUAGUGUGUGUACAUAAUGCGUUUAGUGCUCUAGGAAGCAAGCAACAGUCUGUUUAGUUGCACCGGAACAUCGGUCGAAUCAUUAUCAUUAUCAACAUCUGGCGGUCUCUCUGGAUACACCGAACCGCACACGUACGCAGCAAAAAGGUGGGAGGAGUAAGUAAGACAAAAAAAAACAAAAUGAAACACGCCGAAAGCCGGGGGUCUGCCCCGAAGGUGAAGGUUCCGCUGAAGGAAGAAUCCUCCUCCUACCGGGUGCAUAUAGCGCUCGGGCUGUUUCUUGUGAUAAUGUUCCUGUCCUUCCCGACGCUAUGUGGCGCUCACGGACAGCAUGCCCACGAUCAUGACCAUGAUCAUGAUCACCACCAUCAUCACGAAAGUCCCAGCUUUAAGUAUUCGAAGCAUGCGAACGAGAUGUACGAGGAAGAACCGGUAGCGGUUCCACAUCAUCACCAUCACCAUCAUCAUGGUGGAGAUGAGAACCACGACCAUCAUCACCACCAUCAUGAUGGCGGUCAUCAUCAUCAUCACCAUCAUCAGGAAAAGCCAACUGGUGACAGUAAACCUCCGAGAGAUACGUUCUACAUCUGGGUGCAUUCCCUUGGCUCGACGUUGCUGAUUAGUGCGGCACCGUUUUUCAUCCUCUUUGCCAUUCCGCUAGAUAACACGGAAGAGAUGCAGCCACGGUUAAAAACACUGCUUGCGUUCGCUUCGGGCGGUUUGUUGGGCGAUGCCUUCCUGCACCUGAUCCCACACGCUAUUCAGCCACAUUCGCACGCGGACGGUGGUCACUCGCACGGUCACGGCCACAGCCACGGGCACUCUCAUAAUCAUCAUCAUGGUGAGGAAGGCGAAAGCCAUGGGCACGAUAUGCGUGUCGGACUGUGGGUUUUGGCUGGAAUUAUAGUGUUCCUGGCGGUCGAGAAGUUCGUGCGUUUGAUAAAGAAAGAUACGGGACAUGGGCAUGGUCAUGGACACAGUCACGGUGGAUCGAAACCGGUGGCUGCACCGGCACAAGACAAAAAGGCUGCCAAAAGCUCGCCACCACCAUCCCCAACCGAGGGUAAGAAGGAGAAGAAGGACGGUGGCAAGAAGCAACCGGAAGGUAGCACGAAGUCGAAAAAGGAGGAAGCGAAAGCAAAGGGCAAAGCCGUGCGGAAAGAACCGAAGAAGGAGGCUACCAUUAAGAUCGCCGGCUAUCUUAAUCUGGCGGCCGAUUUUACGCACAACUUCACGGAUGGUUUGGCGAUCGGUGCGUCUUAUCUGGCGGGUAACAGUAUCGGCUUGAUCACCACGAUCACUAUCCUGCUGCAUGAGGUGCCGCACGAAAUCGGUGACUUUGCCAUCCUGGUAAAGUCGGGAUGCUCCAAGAAGAAGGCGAUGCUGUUGCAACUAACGACGGCCGUCGGUGCGCUGGCCGGUACCGUGCUUGCCCUGCUGGGCAGUGGGAGUGAUGCGGCAGAAUCGUGGGUACUUCCAUUCACCGCCGGUGGCUUCAUCUACAUCGCGACCGUAUCGGUGAUACCGGAGCUGCUGGAAGAGUCCACCAAGCUGUGGCAAUCGCUGAAGGAAAUUACGGCCAUGUUGGCCGGCGUGGGCAUGAUGGUAAUUAUUGCAAAGUUUGAAUAGAGCAAGCGGUAGAAGUACGAGGUCCGGUGGCUGCCGUCUAUCUUCCUGUACCUUCGUCAUCGUCACACUUCUAUACAUAUACUACGGAUCGUGUCUGAAGGUGAUUGAACACACGAUAGAACAAAGAUGAGAUUUACUUUACUCUCGAAGCACAUCGUUCUGCGUUUUUAUCGUUAUACAAGCGUACGCGUUGAAACGAAGCUGGGCUUUGUAAUUGUUCUUUCUUUGCACGCAUCUUGUAUGCGCUUUCUUACCGAUCUAUAUGCAAUGUUAUCGCCAACGGGUUUGUUGUGGCCGAUUUGUAGAACGAAUUUAGAAGAGUAAUAAAAUAACUGUUUUAAAUAUGAUCAUGGGAA